rnacentral:lncRNA from 1 species
UUUGGCUGACAGUGCAGGAACCUAGAAAAGAGGCCUGUAUUUGAGCAGGAGUUCCAGGUGUGGUGUGUACUGUGUACCGGCGUAUCAGAAUGAGCCAGAUUUCACAUGUUUAUUGCUGAGCCAUUUCUGGUAGAUUUCAUAGAGACCCAGCCUUUUUCUGCUCCCAUUUGGAAGUGACGGUCCCCACAUUUCCCACCCUCUGAAACUUCUUCAUUGUUAAGCGGAAUCUUCUCUGAGCUCAGAAGUAAAAUCGAUUGGAUUUGAUUAAUGAAAUGUGUGUUUGCUGCGUUUUCUGGCUGUAGAGAUUUACUUCCCAUGGUUUCUUCUCAGAGCUGAACAAAUGGCCAGUGUUCAGAAUGCCCAGAGAGACAAUGCUGGGGACAGGGCAGAUUUCUGGAGAAUGCGUGGCCAGAGGUCUGGGGUGAAGAAGAACCUGAGGAAAAGUCGGGAAGACCUUACAGCCGUUGUGUCUGUCAGCACCAAAUUCCCGGCUUAUGAGAGGGUUUUGCUGCGAGAAGCUGGUUUCAAGAGACCUGUGGUCUUAUUCGGCCCCAUAGCUGAUAUAGCAAUGGAAAAAUUGGCAAAUGAGUUACCUGACUGGUUUCAAACUGCUAGUAAGUCUGUCAGUGUUUUUUUUUUUUCUCUCCCAUAUUUUUAUUUUGAAAAAUUUCUAACAGAGGAGUUGGAAGAAUCGUGAACACACACGUACCCUUCACCUGGAAUCACCAGUUGCUAACAUUUUUCAUGCACUUUCUCUCACCCACUCCUUGCACCAUAGACACACACACACAAACUCUUUCAAAUAUUUCUGCAGAAUCAUUUAUAACACUUUAUCCCGGAAUACUUGUGGGAAUCUCCUAAGAACAAGGACUUUCUCCCACAUAACUGCAAUACCAUUAUCACAGCCAAGAAAGAUAACACAUUGAUACAGUGUGAUUUCGUAUAUAGUCCAUUUUCCACAUUUUCAUCCUAGUUAUGUGCUUCAUAGCUUUUUUUUUUUAAUUCAGGAUACAACCAAGGAUCAUUCAUGACAUUUGACUUUUAUGUCUUUUUGUGAUUUUUAUGUCUUUCCAGUCCCCUCUUUUUUCCUAAAUAAUUUUGUUACACUGAUAUUUUGAAGAAUCCAAGCUAGUUGUCUCCUAGAAUGCUUCCUGUUGGACUGGCCUAACCGUUUCUUCACGAUUAGAUUUCCGCUAAGCAGGCUGUGUGGGUCCUUCCCACUGAAUCUCUUUAGGAGGCACCUAAUGUCAGGUGUGCCGUCAUUGCUGAUGCUAGGUGGGAGUAUUUGAUUGUCACCGUUUUCUAAACAAUUAUUUAGCUCCCUGCUUUUGCUUUUGCAGAAACGGAACCAAAAGAUGCAGGAUCUGAGAAAUCCACCGGAGUGGUCCGGUUAAAUACCGUGAGGCAAAUUAUUGAACAGGUGAGAAAAUUCAUCCACAGACCAUGUUCUCAGAAAUAAUUAGAUCAUGGUUUGCUGCAGUCACUUUUAGAAUAGUAUCUGUACCUUAAUCAUUAAAUGUUAAUAAUAAAAAAUUGGCCAGGUGCAGUGGCUCACACCUGUAAUCUCAGCCCUUUGAGAGGCUGAAGCGGGUAGAUCACCUAAGGUCAGGAGUUAGAGACCAGCCUGGCCAACAUGGUGAAACCCUGUCUCUACUAAAAUUAUAAUUAGCCGGGCGUGGUGGCAGGUGCCUGUAGUCCCAGCUACUCAGGAGGCUGAGGCAGGAGAAUCGCUUGAACCCAGGAGGCAGAGGUUGCAGUGAGCCAAAGAUCACGCCAUUGCACUCCAGCCUGGGCGACAGAGGGAGACUCCAUCAAAAAAAAAAAAAAAAAAAAGAUGUAGCACUAUGAUUUUAAAAUGUCUUGUUCUUUGUGCUGCAUUUCAAUUUUACUUGCUUUCUAACUAUAAGGCUGAGGCUCUUUAAUUUGAUAAAUACCUUUCAAUUUUAUAAACACAUGUUAAACACUUUUAGGUGAUAGAAGCUAUAGGAAAAGGGUGGAAUUGGUCAGAGUCUUUAUUUGCACGCUUUUAUUUGAACCGUUUAAAAUUAGCGUGAAUGCUGGGCCAGCAUACUCAUUUGCCACAGACCCCAACACUCCCUAUUGCAUUAUAGUUAUCUGUUUCAUACUUGUGUAUUACCUUCUUGGCCACCUCUGUGAGAGACUCACAGAAGGGACAUGGAUGGAAACAACCACAAGAAAUUCUAAUCUGAUCUGGUGACAGAUCCUUGCUUCAAUGGCUUAUCUCUAAGGUGCAGCUGGCAGUGUGGGGAGGCCAGAAGGUAUAGUGCUCAGGCCCAUAGCAAGGUGCUGGGUGGGAGGGCUUGAAUAGUGACAUUAAGGACUCAUUUACGUGUUGGCUUUGCUCUGGUCAGGCCCUGAUGAAAACAAACAAAAGGCUCAGUGGCACCUUACUAUAAACUUCUCUGUUUUUUCUUUUUUUUCUCUCUUUCUGUUUUUCCUUCCUAAUAGGUGAACACACAGGAUUUCAGAGGACUAGUGCGGGAAGAUGCUGUUCUCUACCUGUUAGAAAUCCCUAAAGGUGAAAUGGUGACCAUUUUAGCUCAGAGCCGAGCCGAUGGUGAGCAAGUUUGGUCAUUUAGUUUUGUUGGGGUUGGGGGUGGGGAGUGGGAAGGAUGAGAGAGGUGUCUUGGUACCAGAAUAGGCAAAUCUGGGUAAUAAAAAAUUGAGAUGGAUCUCAACACCCAAUCCUUGGGUCCUAGGUGUGUGAAGAAAAUCUGGGUGCCAUUUAACUUUUCCAUAAAAAUGUUUUCUAUGCAUACACUGAAAUAAUUUUACUAGUUGUGUCAUUUUGGAAUAAAAGUGCCUUCCUGAACAGUGAUGCAGCCUUACGUUCUGCCUGGAGUUAUUAGUGAGUUUACAUAUGACAGGUGCAAAGGCCAUGGCUGCUGGCUGGUGCCCCUGUUGCCCCCAGCCAGUCUGACAAGUUGUUUCGCCUUUCCAGGCCUUGUUCUCAUCUGUGAAGUGAGGGUUGAGAGUAUCUUCCUUGUCUGCUUCAGAGUUUGAUUGGCGAGUGUGUUAAUCAAGUUCUUCAGAGAAACAGAACCGAUAGGAGAUAUUGGAAUCAAUAGGAGAGAAAGAGAUUUAUUGUAAAGAAUUGGCUCACAUAAUUAUGGGGACUGGCAAGUGCCAAGAUCUGCAGUGAAAAUGGUCAAGGUAGAGACUCAGGAGAGCCAGUGAUUUAGUUCUAGUCUCAGUCUGAAGGGCUGAGAACCCGGAGAGCCAAUGGUGUAGUUCCAGU